UUGCGAAUAUUCUCGCUGUUCUGAUUGUGUCAUGAUCAGAGCAGGCUAAACAUUCGCUAUAGUAAGACCAUGCAUGUGUCCCCAGACCUAGAUCUUUCCCUAGGUCUGGUUUUAUAAAUGCUGGUGAUAAAC
ensembl:snoRNA SNORA72 Small nucleolar RNA SNORA72